UAAUACAGAGGUCCCAAGCGUUGUUCGGAUUCACUGGGCGUAAAGGGUGCGUAGGUGGCAGGGUAAGUCGGAUGUGAAAUCUCCGAGCUCAACUCGGAAAUGGCAUUGGAAACUACCCAGCUCGAGGGUUGGAGGGGGGACUGGAAUGCUUGGUGUAGCAGUGAAAUGCGUAGAUAUCAAGCGGAACACCAGUGGCGAAGGCGAGUCCCUGGACAACUCCUGACACUGAGGCACGAAAGCUAGGGGAGCAAACAG
rnacentral:rRNA from 1 species